rnacentral:lncRNA from 1 species
GAUCUCAUAAAAUCUGCUUUGAGUCCAACCACCAAUCUCUUGCUUGAGUUCACCACAACAGAUGACCUCAAUUGCUUUGCUGAACUAAAGGAAUCCUUUAUCUACAUAACUCAAAGUGUGGCCCAUCAACUAUUACUAGUCUGAAAUGAGAUGUACAGAAAUUGAGAGUAAUUGGGCACAAAUUUUUAUAGGAAUUUGACAUUGCCUUAACGUUCAAAUGCAUGGUCAAUGGACUGUCUUCAUUGAACAGUAUAUAGACCAGAUCAGGGAGUUUUGAAAUCAUAAGGUGAGCUACAGAUG